GAGAUGCCUGCAGCGGCGUUACCCUGCGAGCUCUCCCAGAACCAAGCACUGCUCCCGGGGGAGGAGUUCUCCCUGCUUCCGAUGACACCGGGUCUCUGCAGCAACACAGCCCUGCUGCUGCUCCAUGGCACCAAGGAGCUGCCAUGCCGGCGGGCUCGGAUGUUUUGUCGGGCUUGAAUGAUUUGUCGGAUGAAGUAAAGGAUACGCCCCCUGAGCGCACUUUGGGCUAAAAAAUGGACAACUCCUUUGUGGAAGAAGUGGCUGCAUCACUGGUGAGGGAAUUUCUCAGUAGAAAGGGACUGAAGAAAACUAUCAGUACCAUGGACCGAGAGCUUCCACGCUCUGCACUUAGCAUCAAUAACAGGAAUGAACUUCGAAACGUCCUACAUUUGCACUCCUUGUACAAACAGAACAAGGCAAAGGAGAACCCACUUAAAACACUUCUUGAAAUUAUUACUAAGUACUUCCUUGAGCACCGUGGGACCUCCAAAAUCACCGGUUCAAGUUCUACUCUGCCAGCUCCUCAAAGUAAGAGCUCAACAUCUCAUCCACCUGACUUCUCAGAUGAAGAUCAUGCAUUUGGGAGUGCCAGUACGCCUGAUGAGAGCAGAACUCAAACCUCCAGAUACCAUGUUGAGAAUCCACUAGAUAAAAUCCUUUCAUCCAGAAAACACCAGCACAAAAGUGAAAAAUGCCAUACGGAGACAAUAUGCAAUAGCCAAUUAACCUCUGAUGGGGAUAAGAAGUUAAAAGAUAGUCAAGAAGAUUUAAAAGCAACAAUGAUUUCUGAAGAGCUUCAAGCAACAGUGAAGGACAAGCACAGGCCCAGGUCUGGUCUCAUUGUCAGAGGAAUGAUGGCUGGACCAGUAGCAAGUUCACCAGAGGAUCUGCAGAAAAGGAGGCUUUCAAAACGCUCCACUAGCAUAAGCAGCGCAGCCCAGCUCAAAGGUGAAAAAGAGGAAGGAAAUGACCUGAGUGUCCCAAGCAUUGAUUCUCAGGAAAGUAAAGAAACUUCAACACAAGUAAAUACAGAGUUUUCACCAAGGACUUUGUCAAGCUCACACACGAUUUCAGCUUCUGAAAAACUAAGAAACAUCCCCAAAGAUACAGAUGACUUUUUUGCCAAACUGUUCUCUGAAAGAGGGAGGACGAAGACAGAAGAAAGAAAAUUGGUUCCAAACUUUUAUACAGAAAGCAAUGAAAAAAGCCUUAAAGUGAGUGCCUCUCACAGACAUUCAGGGACUGGAAAAGAGAAGAAAGAAAGGUCCCUCAAGAAAAGUGAGAAUUGGUUAUCAGGCCUCAGGAAGUCUCCAACACCUACUUGGAAUAAAGAAGACCAGACAAAAGAUGUCCUAGAAUUAGUUGAUGUUGAGGAUGAAGCAACAACUGGAGAAGUCAGUAAGAACCUGAAUCUUUCAACACUGCAUAUGCUUCAAGAAGUAUCAGUAUCAAAGGCAAUUGAUAUCUCGCUUGCAAAAGAAUUAAAAAAUCUUUUGUUUGGCUCCAGUCUUUGUUGCUUCAGUGAAGAAUGGAAAAUACAGAGUUUUACAUUUAAUAACAUACCUCAGUUAAAAUAUGGCAUUGUGCAAAAAAAGGGUGGCCCAUGUGGAGUGCUGGCAGCAGUUCAAGCAUGUGUCCUACAGCAGCUUAUCUUUGGAGACAGUAACAGGAAUAAAGAUGCUCGCUGUCUUCAGCCUUCAGAAGUGCACAGGACCAAAUGCCUCACCAUGGCUCUUGCAGACAUACUGUGGCGUGCAGGAGGCAAUGAAAAAGCAGUUGUGGCAUUGCCAUCAGGAAGACAGCAGUUCACUCCCAUAGGAAAAUACAAGGCAGAUGGAAUCUUAGAAACUCUAAUACUGCAUAGUUCCACAAGAUAUGAAGAUCUGAUUGUACUUCUUCAGCAGAAUAUUCACCAGUUUGAAAUUGGCCCCUGUGGGUGCAUUCUUCUGACUGUGUCUGUCAUCUUAUCAAGAUCUAUCAAUCUGGUGCGCAAUGAUUUUGAUGUGCUUACGAACCGUUUGAUCGGCAGCCAUGGCUAUUGUACUCAGGAAUUAGUGAACUUGCUUUUGACUGGCAAAGCUGUGUCCAAUGUUUUCAAUGAUGUGAUAGAGCUGAAUUCUGGAAAUGGAAAUAUUACAAUCUUGAAAGGCAUCACAAGCCGCAGUGAUAUUGGUUUGCUGUCUCUCUUUGAGCACUACGAUGUUUGCCAGGUUGGUUGUUACUUGAAGACCCCUAAAUAUCCAAUUUGGUUGGUGUGCAGUGAAAGCCACUUCAGUGUGCUUUUUUGUUUGGAAAAGGAUUUACUAAGUGACUGGAAAACAGAACGGAGAUUUGAUCUAUAUUAUUAUGAUGGCUUGGCCAACCAGGAAGAGGAAAUACGGUUAACAGUUGCGAAUCACAUAUUUUCUACAGGUAGCAAGUACAAGUCUCCUGAUCCUGAGCCUUACAUGCAUGUGGUAAAGUGAGCAGAGAAGACACAACUCAGAUGUUCACUGAAGAUAAAGAAAAUGAUCUUAUUCCUCCACUUGAGCACUGCAUUAGAACAAAGUGGCAAGGAGCUGUUAUUGACUGGAAUGGCACAGAACCAAUCUUGUGACUGACCUGACCCGCACUUUAUUUGUAAAGAGAAAAAAGGGAAAUGACAGAACUAGCACAUUCCUAUUCCCACCAAUACAGGAAAUAGGACAAGAGUUAUGCUGUUUAUGAUGAGGAAGAAUGACAUGGUUGUGUGCAGGCUGGAAGAGUUUCACCUCAUUCACCUCAUGCUUCGGAUAUUUUGCUUAUAAUAUAAACGACACUUACAUAAAUUCUUUGAGACUGAUUAUAACAUACAGUUUCUGAGCGUUGACUGAGUUUCCCAUGCCAAAUGAUGGUUACAGACGAAGCAGUGAAGUUGUCAAUGUCCCCUUGAGGUCUCUUUCUGGAUCUACUCUGUAUCCUGCAAUUGUUUCCAAAAAUCUGAUGAAAGAAGCUGAAUCCAUUUCUGUCACUGUACCUGCUUUCUCUGUGUUGCCUAAUUAUUCACCUACAACACUACAGCGCAAGUAUAAAAUGUCAUCCAAGAAAUAUAUAUAUUCACCUUGUUACCUUAUAUUAAUAAGUCUCAUUUUGCACUGAAUGUAUUGGUGAUCACAUGGACUUCUCAGAUAGAGCCAGACCUACACAAAGUUCUUGUGUUCUAAAAUUUGCAGUAAAGCUUCAGUUUUCUGUUAACAGAACAUACUGGUAUGUUCCUUGUUCUGGGUGAAAUUCUGUGGUGCACAGUGCCUCACACUGAUGUAGUUCAUUUCCUUUCUGGAUGGGAGAAAGAUGUUUAAAUAUCUUUUAUAUCAGUGUAACUGCUUAUACUCUAGGUUUUAUUUACACUGAAGUGCUAGAUAAAAUUUGUGGUUUGCUUCUUCAUUAUUACAAGAAAACAGAAAUGCUGUUAGGUUUGCGAUGUAAAGAGUGAUAGAGGAUCUGUGAUAGAUACUGUUUUUUGUGAUUAAAUAAAAUGCAUGUGUGAAAAUGGUGUACUGUGGAGAUGUACCGUAAGGUACUAAAAGAACAGUUUGUAUUAUGAAAUGAAUUCUUUAUUUUGGCAACAUUUUACUAAAAUUGGAACAAGCUACUGAAGACUAGAAAAAAUGCUUUUGAAAAAAAUAUUUGCCAGCAGAAAAGCUGCAGGUAAAUGGUGUUUCUGGAAUGAUUUGUCUCACUUAAAAGUAAGUAUUUCAUGAGAGUUUAAUACAAGACUUUUACUUGCUGAUAUUUAUCAUAGCACCUUCCUGGUCACUAUGAAAACUUUGAGUCCAGAUAAACUAGGUGCUAUUUUCAAAAUCAAUUUCUAACAAAAAUUAAAUAUCCUACUGUGUGUAGCCUAGAGAUAUAAAACAGUCUGUGCAAAUACAAAUUUUAGGGAAUUAGCACUUGAUAUAGAUUUGGAAACUGACUUGAGUAUAAACCAUAACAUACUACCAGAAAAGUUUAGUCUGUGAAUGUACAUCUGUCUCCCCCUUUGCUUCUCAUUUACAUCAAGAUAUCUAUGUGCAGUAAAGCAUAUCAGAGUUGCAGUUAUUUCAAUUUUAUUUGUUUCAGUGUAAUUUGUUUUAGAUCAGAUAGGCAAACUUCCUUCUUUACACUUUGUGAGAUGAAGAUCUCCCAUUCAGCCUUGAAGCCAUAGACAGCAUCAGAUUCCUUACUCAGAGCCCAUUCCUGACUCUCCUACAGGAAUAUUACAUUGCCCCCUUCAUCUCAGUGUAUUUAGGGAUAUGUUUGUACUGUCAGCUGUAGGUGGACUAAAGACUGCCUUUAGGAUGCAUUCAUCUAAACUUCAAGCACACCAGUUCCUUGGUAAGACAUUGCCUCAGUGAGCUUCAGUAUUUCUAGGAGUUGGAGAUCCCAAAUGUUCAAGGAUCCCAGAUCCAGGCGAUUCAAUAAUACAGCUUGAAAAAUCACAGACAUAACGUUGGCUGAGUGUGUUGUCAGGCGGUCUACCAGCCUGCAUAAAACCUUUGCUCUUUUAUUUAUUUAUUAUUUUUUAUGAUCUAUAGUCCACACUUUGUUUCAUGGUAUGAAUAUAGUCUGAUUUUCCCAGCUGCCUCACAGGGCAGCUAUAACAUAAGACUUUUCACAGAAUGCAUUUGGACAGAAAAUAGUGUAGAGAUGAAAAUUCCUUUCUGAAUUUUUCAAUUUAUUAAACCUACACCGUUUGCUUUAAAAGCACUGCUUUAAACUAUGUCAGUUUGGAGGAGAUGACUUUCCACUCCCAGAUGGAAGAGCAGUGAACAUAAGUGUUCCCCUGGGGAGGAAGAGAGCUGCCUUUUUACAGCCCUGAUUUCAUCUGAUUAAAAUAUGGAUGUCUCCAGUGCAGAUGUGCUUGGAGGAGCUGUUUCUCUGGGCUACCUUUAGAGUUGAAACAGAUAGUAAGAUGUGAUAUAUCUUUGCUUUUGGGCAAGAAGAAUUAUGAUCCAGACUAUAGGAUUAUAAACUGAGUAUAGCUGGAGCCUAAGGGGAUAGCCUUGGAUCAACUUCACCCUUAAAGAUGUAAGGAUUUUUCAGGACAUAACAAAGAGUUCAAGAUUAAUAAAUAGGCAUGGAAAUGGAUUAUAUAUUUUUUUUUUCUUAUUUUGAAGCAUAAAUGAAGAUCAGAGGGAGCCCUGAGCUCUGUUUCUCUUUUUAAAUCAGUCUGCAAAGACUUUUGAGGCUCCAUCCUCACUGGUUAUGGAUAAUAAUUUUGUUGAAUAUUAAUUUCUAUUCCAGCAGAAUCCCAGUGAGCCAGAUCUUUCAUAUUCAUUAUCUGUAAUUAAGUCCCCAUAUAUUUGUUAUGCAAAGUCCACUGUCUGCCAUCUGUUUAAGAUGGUCUAACUCAAGAUUCACCUGUGCCCUCACUCACAAAGGCAGAAAUAAAACACUUGGACCAAAACUACCACCGCUGUAGGGUAAUUCCACCAAGCUUGAGCACAGAAUUGCUAAGCCCCUUCCACCAUCUUUGCUCCUGGAGCCUACAGGCAGUACCUGCCUUCUCCAGGGCUCAACGAUGCUGCCCUUACUAGGCAAGAGAGAUGGCUCUUGAGAUUUACUAAGGCAUCUUUCAGUAAAGAGGAAAUGUGUAACAAAAUUACUCGUGUAGAGCUACCUCUUCUGCAGAAACAAUCAAAUCAACCAACCCUAAAACUAAAACAAAACAAAAAACCAACCAACAAACCAAAACACAUUAAAAAAAAAAAAAAAAGAAUGAAAAAAAAGAAACCUGAGUAUUGCCUCUCUCACUUUCUGCAUCAAGACUUAUAUAUUUCAAUUUGAUAGCAAAACACAGGAGGUUAUUUAAGAUAUCACAGAGCUUUUUCAAUCAAAUGAUCAGGCAAGACGAUACAAAAUGUCAUAUGGCAAUACAAAAACCUUUGUACAGACCUGUGCGAAUUCAUAUCCUGUUGUAGCAGUUUACAUCUAGUUUUUUUAAUUACUUUUUCCUUUUCAUUGUUUCCCAUUUUCUUUUUCAUUGCCUGAUAAACGUGACUUCCUGAAGUGAACAAAGCAAGGAGUUGCUAAUUGUACAUUAAAAGACACUGGCACUUGGCCUCUAUGUAUAUCUUAAAUUCAUUCUCUUUCCUUCUGUGAUAUAAAAAAUGCACCCUCUGCUGAAAUGUGAUGCCUUAGCUAACAACAGAGAUGGCAUAUUGUAUAUGCAGAAUGUCUAAUCAGAAGUGCUAUUUUGGUAAGGUGUCAUAUAUAUCGCAUUUGUGCAAAAUGUAUAUUUAAUUUUGUCUUGUACAGAAUGUCUCAUACAAAUAAAACAUUUAAAGCAAAGAUAAUAGUAA